ACACUGACGACAUGGUUCUACACCUGAGAAACGGCUACCACAUCUAAGGAAGGCAGCAGGCACGCAAAUUACCCACUCUCGGCACGGGGAGGUAGUGACAAUAAAUAACGAUGCGUGUCUCUUUCUGAGGCCUCGCAAUCGGAAUGGAUUUAUACUUAAAUCACUGGAAGAGGAGCAAUUGGAGGGCAAGUCUGGUGCCAGCAGCCGCGGUAACUCCAGCUUCAGUAGCGUUAAGUUNNNNUUGCUGACGGUUAAAAGC
rnacentral:rRNA from 1 species